GAUGAAGAACGUAGCGAAAUGCGAUAAGUAAUGUGAAUUGCAGAAUUCAGUGAAUCAUCGAAUCUUUGAACGCACAUUGCGCCCCUUGGUAUUCCGAGGGGCAUGCCUGUUCGAGCGUCAUUAUAACCCUCAAGCUCAGCUUGGUGUUGAGGCCUGCUGCACUGGCAGCCCUUAAAAUCAGUGGCGGCGCCAUCUGGCUCUAAGCGUAGUAAUUCUUCUCGCUAUGGAGUCCUGGUGGAUGCUUGCCAUCAACCCCCAAUUUUUCUAUGGUUGACCUCGGAUCAGGUAGGAAUACCCGCUGAACUUAAGCAUAUCAAUAAGCGGAGGA
rnacentral:misc_RNA from 1 species